rnacentral:rRNA from 1 species
UACGUAGGGGGCAAGCGUUGUCCGGAAUUAUUGGGCGUAAAGAGCGUGUAGGCGGUCCGGUAAGUCAGCUGUGAAAGUCAAGGGCUCAACCCUUGAAUGCCGGUUGAUACUGUCGGGCUAGAGUCCGGAAGAGGCGAGUGGAAUUCCUGGUGUAGCGGUGGAAUGCGCAGAGAUCAGGAGGAACACCGAUGGCGAAGGCAGCUCGCUGGGACGGUACUGACGCUGAGGCGCGAAAGCGUGGGGAGCAAACAGG